rnacentral:lncRNA from 1 species
CUGAGACUCCAUCCCGGCCCCACCCCUCACCUCCUGGGGGACCUGGGGCCAAUUCCUUCACUUCUCCUGCUUCUGUUACUUCCCCUGUAGGCAGAGUGGGGAGGAUAGUGGUGCCACCACCCAGAGGAAGCCCUCGGUGAGAAGACCCCCAAAAACCCUUACCUUGCGCCGAGCGUGAGCCUCAGGGAGCUGCUCCCCACACUGAUUCUAAUGUUUAAAAUCUGUCUUUUUUCCCCACAUGACCCCUAAAUCUAAAGCAGUGACAUCCUCUGUGACUCAACCAGAUGUGUGAUCGCUCCAGUACCCGUGAGCACUGGCCAAGCUGGACUGUGGGGAGACACUGGUUGUCACAAUGCUUGGUGAGCACUUGAGGUGACUUUGCACUGACUUUACUCCUGUUUGCUGGACCCACCUGUUCUGUAAGCGACACCAGCCCCAUCCCACCCUGGUGGCUCAGAGCACCUGAGACUGGGGAUGGGGGCAACAGGAGGAAACAUCCUGCCCCUAGGACAAGCAGACGGACGGGUGACCCAGGGCCUGGCUGCGGUGGGGCCUGGCGAAGGAGUGCAGACAUCAGACACCAUCACAUGCUCCCGACUGACCUCAGAAUCUUAGUCUGAAUGGUCAGGAUCCUUGUGUGAUCUCCUCUGCAACAGAAGAACAGAGCCCCAGCCAGCUGCGAGGUCUCGCCUCUCCAAGUGACAGUGAAGAGAGGACGUCACACAGCGAGCAGGACAGAUGCUCAGGAGGGAAGCGGCUGCUGCAAAGGCAGCCUGGGCUGUUGGGACAGGGGCCCUGCAGACGGACGAACAGACAGACAGCCAGCCCUGGUGAGAACUCGACUCUGUUUCCUCGCGUCCGUGUGGCCCUGAGCAGUUCUGUCAUCAUCCAGGCCGCAUGGCUGCCCUGGAGCCGGGGGGUCAGACCCUCAAGGCUGCCUUCUCCCGGGGGCUCCCCGGCGCUGUGUGGUUGCUCAGAUGCUCAUGGGAGCCCGACGGCUGCUCAUCUCAGGCCCCCAGGACAGCCCGACAGCCCAGCCGCUGCACCUUGGACGUGGGCUCUCCGAGACGAGGGCCACACUGGUCCUGGGGGACCCGGACCGGGCUGGGAUCCCGCAUCUAGUUAGCACAGCACAGGAAGCAGAGACCACAGCCCAGGGCACUCCUGGUGACAGAGCUGUUUUAUGCACAUGAAGCACAACCUUGAAUACAACAGCCCCAACUCCCAGCCUCAUGGAGGUUAUAUGCAGGCCCACCCCUGCCCUGUGGAAAGGGGAUAGAUGGGUCCCCUCGAGGUCACCGCAGCACUGGCUCCUUGCUCACACAGCGAUGGUCCCCUGCUGCUGUCAUUCUGGUCACCGUCACUGGUCAGCGGCCCAGACCCUUGGCCAGCCUGUAGGGUCCACCCCAGCCUUGCCGUGUACUAGCUGUGUAGCUGUGCAGUUCCUACCUCUGGUCUAGUAGGACUGUUGGUGGUGACAUGAAGGACCACAUGCCGGGCACAGAGCAAGUAUGUGACCCAUAAUGCAGCUGCUGUCAUCACUCGUUGUUUGUAUGAAGAAGUGGAGAUGCAGAGAGGGGAAGACACUGGCCCAAAGACACAUAGCUUGAAAGUGGGAAAACCGGGGUCCACACCCAUGCAGCUCUGCCCCCCACACUCAGCUCCUAAGGAGGCACCACAUGUCUUGGCCCCCACACAGACUCUAGGUCGUCAGGACCUGGGCAGGCACGGGAGGCGUGCAGCGUCUGGAGCAUCCGGAGCGUCUGGAAAAUGUGCUUUAUAAAGGGCCCUGCGGCUGCAAAGGCGGAUUUCUCUGGCUCCGUCUGAAGGGACACUGUCUCUGUUCCAGUCUGAUAAUGGCUUUAAGGACCACAUGUUUAUGCCAUUGUGAAAGAAAGCAUGACUUGCUUGUCUAAAACUAAUGGGUUUGAAAAUCCCCAAGGUGACGAGCUGGUGGCCGGCAGUGACAGGCCCCAGCCUCCCAGGGUCACGUGGUGGGACAAGCUCGCCUGGGCCCCAAGGUUCCCAUGUGAACACUGCAGAGUCGGACGGGCUCUGAUGCGUCACUACUGGUCUGCAGAAGCUGUCCUUGUGUCCGGGGAUGGGCCCUCCACUGCCUGGGCCUGCGUCACAGGGGGCUGAGUGGACCCGGAGAACCAAAGCCCACCCUGAACUGAGGGGCGGUCAGAGAACAGCACCUGGAAGAGGCCCCUCUGCUGGGCCGCCUGAGGAGCAGACACCCACUAGGACCUCCCACUGCAAGCGCCAUCCCACAUCUGCGCCCCUGGCCCUCUUAACUGGGCCUGGUUUCACCUCUGCGCCCCCCAUAGACCCCAGCUGAACGCUGCUCUGCCACAACUUUGCUCUGCCCACACCCUGAGGCCAGGAACAGUGCUGCCCACCACGUCCCUCCUAACUCCUGGUCCUGUGGUUCACAUCAGGAACGGAUUCCCCAACAGAGAACUCAGACACGGAUGGCUCAGAAAUGUGACUGAGGGGUCUGUGAUCUGCCCUGAGAUUUGGUCUGGACGUUUCUGUGAGGCUGUUUCUGGAUGAGAUGUACACUGAAAUUGGUGGACUUCGAGUAAAGCCGACUGCCCUUCCUCAUGUGGUGGGCCUGGUCCAAUCAGUGGAAGGCCUGGAGAGAACCAAAGGCUGACCUCCCCGAGGUCAAGGGGGAAUUCUGCAGCAGACACCUUCGGAUGGGAACCGCACCAUCAGCUCUCCUGGUCUGCAGCCUGCCGGCCAGCCCUGCCCUUCUGGACGCACAAGCCUCCACCCUCACUGAGCCGAUUCCUCCCACAAGUCCCUUUCUAGACGCCCACACUUCUCCUCGGUUCUGCUUCCCUGGAGAAUGCUGACUGCGUGGGCUCUGAGUGUGCACCACAGGGCCAGCUCCUGGGCUGACCCUGGAACUCAGGUGGGGCCCUGGGAAGGUGUGGGGACAGCCUGGAUGUGCCCGGGGUGGG